CGCUGUGCCAGCAGACAGUUCCAGCUCUCGACAACUGAUGCACAGACAGCUGCUGUUUCUCCCUUCCCCUGAUCCCCAAACUUUCCUUCUUUCAUUUCUUCCCUACACUGCCUCCAUUCAUUCCCUUUGUACUUUCCCCUUACUUCUCUCUAGGCUGUCCUUCUGUCCUGCACUUUUUCUCAGGCGGAUAUAAAAGCAGGUCCGGUUGGAGGGAAAGGGCUUGUGUAAUCUCUGGUUGCACAUGAGCACUGGAGAGUUAUUGCUUCAGCUGGGAAGACACAACAGACGUGUAAAGGACACACUUUGGAAUAAGAAAGAGGAAGAAGGAAUACCUCUAAGAAAGGAAGAAAGAGUUUGGAGUUGGGGUGCAGGACACAGACCAUGCUGGGCUCUGUGGUGCUCCUGCUGUCCCUGUUGGUCCUGUCCACAGGAAGUGAUGCCAGGAGGAUCAGGAAAAGGGGACUCAACCAUAAGGACUAUGAGUACCCCAAUCAUCCCCAGUCCACACAGCACCAAAAGAAUGACCGGUGUCCCCCGCCUCCCCAGAUGCUGCCAGAGAGAGCCUGUGAGGUCCCGGGCUGCCGCUCAGACUCAGAGUGUGAGCGACAUAAACGUUGCUGCUACAACGGAUGCAUCUAUGCCUGCUUGGAGUCUGUCCAGCCUCCACCAGUGUUGGACUGGUUGGUGCAGCCCAAGCCAAGGUGGUUAGGGGGCAAUGGCUGGCUGUUAGACGGGCCUGAAGAGGUUCUGCAGGCUGAGGCCUGCAGUACAACAGAGGAUGGAGACGAGCCUCUUCACUGUCCUACGGGUUACGAGUGUCACAUCAUCAAUCAAGGAAACCCUGCAGCAGGCAUCCCAAACCGUGGACAGUGCAUCAAGCAACGUGGCAAUUCAGAUGGACGUGGUCUCAGGCACAAAUACUUCAAGGACUACAAGGACUACUUAGGUAAGUGAGGUACCAGCUCGAGCAAUGCAGUGGGCUACGAAAAACAUCAUCACAAGCACCUGGGAUGAAAUCAACCUGACCUCAGACUCAGCUACGACCAUAACUCAACCUCAGACGUCAGCCCAGUUCUGUUCGAUCUUCUGCCACCAGACCUCAACCAGGAUCAGAUCUGAAUGCUUUCUAUGGCCUACAGCUGCUACCUCCUCUUUGCAAAGCCCUGUAUUUCAGCCUGACCUUCACCUUUAGGAGAGAAGUCUGUCAUAACUACAAUACACAGCCAAAGAAAUAAAUGUUUUUCUUCUUUCUCUCUGACUCGAGUGUGUGAAUGAAUGGAACAGAGGGUGUUGUGGUGAAGCGGAGCAGAGGAGAGGCUGUGCACCAAAGCUGUUCAGCAAAUGUCUGAAAAGGAACCAAUGCCAUUUAUUUCAUUUUUACACAACCCUCACUCUCCCAGCAACUCUCUCUCAUUCUUGAAAAUCACACCCUCCAACCUUGAGGCUGGUCAGCAGAGAAAAUCAAAACCAUGCGGGCGUAUUACACAUACAACUCCGGAAAAAGUUAAGAGACCACUCCAAGUUUUUCUUAAAUCUUUAUCUACAUGUAUGGCAGCCAUUCCAGUGUCUGUUGAAUUCCAAAACAGAAAUGUUGUCAGUAGUUUAUAGAAUACAAUACAAAAAAGAAAAAAUCAUUUAACCCAAAGACAUACCUUUAAAUAAUAAAACCAGAGAAAACUGAUAAUGCUGAAGUGGUCUCUUAAUUUCUUCUGUGGCUGUAUGUCUGUCUUGCUCUCAGAAGGGCGAUCUGGAAAGUUUUAUAGACAAAUAGAACAACUUCCAGCUGCAGUUCUCUAGUUAAACUAAAACCAAAUGUGUUUUAAUAUUCAGACUAAUUAAUCUAACUAACAGAAUGUAUCCAUUGAGUGUGUGGAUUUGGAACAGCUGUAGAUAGUAAUGGCCAACAGAUGCUGACUGUAACUUCAAAAUAAAUUUAAAAUGGUUUGUCUGUAAUUUGAUACUGAAAGAUAGAUUAGGGGUGGAUUAUGCCUUCAAAAUAAAACUGUAUGUAUUAUAUCUGUGAUUAUUUUGCUGAAAUUAAUUUACUGAAGUAAGAUUGUGGGAACAUUUUAUAAUUUUAAGUCAUUAUAUAACAUUAUUUAAAAAAUACUUGUAUUUCUACACUAUCUCAUCCCGUAUUGCAGUGCAGGAAAGGGCUUUCACACUGAGCAGAUGUUUGAAACUGGUCAACAAAAAUCUUCUAUGUUAUUCUUAAACUUAACUUGCUUUAUAAAACUGCAGUUGUCUUGUUAAAAUUGCAAAUGGUGCUCACUUAUAUUGCUGCCUAUAAUAAUACCAACAGGAUAAGCUGGUCACAUAAUAAACUGAGGGGUCAAACAAAAAGCUAUUAACCAUUCAUGUGCAGAGCUAAAGUGGAGUCUGAAUGUUUUCUGACUGGUGCUGUAAUGUUGCCUUGAUUAUUCUAAAUAAACCAUAUUGUUGAAAUCA